rnacentral:rRNA from 1 species
UACGUAGGGUGCGAGCGUUAAUCGGAAUUACUGGGCGUAAAGCGUGCGCAGGCGGUUUUGUAAGUUUGUCGUGAAAGCCCCGGGCUCAACCUGGGAAUUGCGAUGAAGACUGCAAGGCUUGAAUCUGGCAGAGGGGGGUAGAAUUCCACGUGUAGCAGUGAAAUGCGUAGAGAUGUGGAGGAACACCGAUGGCGAAGGCAGCCCCCUGGGUCAAGAUUGACGCUCGAUGCACGAAAGCGUGGGAGCAAACAGG